ACAUUGCAAUGUCCAUCCAUUGCUAAUGGGUGGUGUCUAUUUCGUUUCCUAACCGUGACAAGUUUCUCUUCUUGUUUCAAGAAGAGUUUCAAGAAGAGCUCCUGAUCCAUCAGGGCAUCACAAUCACAUAUUAUCCUCAAUCACUAUUUCUCUCCAUUCCUCGUGAAAUAGAGGAAGAGCUGGAAUCUGAUAGGGUUGAUACAUUGUUUAUGGAAUUAUGAUGUUAAUAGGGUCGAUUCUGAGUUUGAAGUUUUGCUGAAUAAUCAAAAUCGCCGCUUUCUGCCUCUUCUUGCUGUGGUGGUAAUUGAGAGCCUAACACAAGUUUGUCACCAGGAGGAUCACUUGCUUCCUUAGUUCCAUUUGAUGAUUCAACAUUUCUUGAUAACUCAACUGCUGGUCCAAUAUGAGUAUUUUGUGGUUCCUCAUUCUUUGGAUAAUUCAAAUUUUCCAUCCUGAAGUCCAUUGAAGUAGUCCUAAUAGACUCUUCAGGCACAACUUGGUGUUUCACCCGUACCCCAGUACUUGGAUGAUCUUGGGAUUCGAGUUCUCAUUAGCUCCACCCUCCAGAGCUUGCUUGGCUGAACUUGAGUUCUGCAUUAGGGGAAAUAGAGUUAUCAGAUCAUAAGCCUCACGACUCACCAAAUUCUAAUGCACCCUUAACUGGUGUUGCUUAUAAUGUUUUGUUGUUCUGUUUUUUUUUUGUGCAGCCAAAAUGCGGCUAGUGAACCAUUUCCCUCCAUGGACGCAAGAUCAUCCGGUGGUAAUUGUUGUAGUGGCAACCGUUAAAGUGUCUUGUAAUCAUAUUAGGUAGUUUCGAUAGUGUAAUUGCAUGAUUGGACCGGAUGUCAUAAUGAUUUGAGUGAA